rnacentral:rRNA from 1 species
GACGAACGCUGGCGGCGUGCUUAACACAUGCAAGUCGAACGGUAAGGCCCUUCGGGGUACACGAGUGGCGAACGGGUGAGUAACACGUGGGUGAUCUGCCCUGCACUUCGGGAUAAGCCUGGGAAACUGGGUCUAAUACCGGAUAGGACUCCUGCCUGCAUGGGUGGGGGUGGAAAGCUUUUGCGGUGUGGGAUGGGCCCGCGGCCUAUCAGCUUGUUGGUGGGGUGAUGGCCUACCAAGGCGACGACGGGUAGCCGGCCUGAGAGGGUGACCGGCCACACUGGGACUGAGGUACGGCCCAGACUCCUACGGGAGGCAGCAGUGGGGAAUAUUGCACAAUGGGCGCAAGCCUGAUGCAGCGACGCCGCGUGAGGGAUGACGGCCUUCGGGUUGUAAACCUCUUUCAGCACAGACGAAGCGCAAGUGACGGUAUGUGCAGAAGAAGGACCGGCCAACUACGUGUCAGCCGCCGCGGUAA